rnacentral:misc_RNA from 1 species
CGCACAUUGCGCCCUCUGGUAUUCCGGAGGGCAUGCCUGUUCGAGCGUCAUUUCAACCCUCAAGCCCAGCUUGGUGUUGGGGCACUACCAGAACCCUCCGGGGCGGCGGUAGGCCCUGAAAUUCAGUGGCGAGCUCGCCAGGACUCCGAGCGCAGUAGUGUAAACCUCGCUUUGGAUCGUACUGGCGCGGCCUAGCCGUAGAACCCCCAACUUCUGAAAAUUUGACCUCGGAUCAGGUAGGAAUACCCGCUGAACUUAA